UGUAGGUCUUUGUGAGGUCUCUUGGCUACUUGGUAAAGUGGAAGAACUGUCAACUCAAAAAGAGUCCAGUAAGAGAACCUGAGCCUGCGAUGACACAGUAACCUGAGGCCGGGGAGAUGGCAGGCUAACAUCUCAAGUAUCAUCCCAAGCUGGAGUGAUAAGAAUCUACAAAUGGAUUUUGUAGGAAACAUCACUAUCUCAGGGACAAGACUUGGAUAAUGUGCAUACACAGAAAAGGAGAUGGAGGGUAUUCCUGUAAAGGCUGCUGUUAUAAUGAUAGUACCAAAACUGAAGAACAUGCUAAUUGAUUUCUUCUAAUAACAUUGUGAAAAUCAUGGUCUCCGAGAAUAGGAUACCUUCCUUCUAGCCACAUCAUCACUGAAGCUGAAGCACUUUUCUUUUUCCUGUUCAGCGUUGAACACUUUGAAUAUAUUAUGGCAAUGAUGAUUUGUUUGUGCCAUCGUGUGUGUGUGUAUGUGUAUU